UGUUGGAGCUAGUAGCAUGAAGCAAUUCGCUACACCAGGAAUGACAUCUGCUUAAUAUGUGUACAGUAUGUGACCAAUACAAAUUGAUUUAUAAUACCCUGAGCACUCACAUCUGCAUUUGAAUCACUUGUGUUUGAAGAGUUAAUCUGAUAACGAAACCCUAGAGGGGCGUAGACAGUAAUGUAACAAGACUAACAUAAUUUCCUAAAUACCUGUUCAACACAAUACAUUUCUGGCUAUAACAUCCCAUAACUUUGCAACCUGUUGAAUUGACCCAUGGUUCUUCAGAAGGCACACCUCCCAGGUGAGCGAGAUACUAUGCAAUACACUCUAAGCAUAUGAUGUAAGUAUGACCUACAGCAAUUCAGAGAGAGAAAGAGCGAGAGAGAGGUGUGCUGUCCAAUGUCUAGAGCAGGGCAGGGAGAGGAGUGAGACCGUGUGAGGGACUUCAUUCUUGAGCACUGCCAUUGAACUUGACAAUAAAAAAGCAUAACGUUCUCAGAUAAGCUUUUCCUGUUCUGAUUUAACAGAUUCAUGGAAUGUGAGAAGAGUUUCUCAACAUCCACAGAUAUGGUGGGGAGCCACAGAUAUGGUGGGGAGCCACCAGUCCACUGCUCUCACCUGUCUGGCAUCAGUUUUGUUUAUUGACAUGUAGUUGUGCCACUCCUCUUCAGAAACCUCACUCAAAGCAGGGAUGAUGUGCACAUAGUCCUUCCUCUCUUUCCUGGACCCUUCCACUCAUAUUGGAUCGAAUAUAUAAAGAGAGCUUGUCUCUGGUGCCGUUCCAUCACAGCCUGCAGUUUAAUGGCACAUUCUCCAUGGCAGCCUUAAAGAGCUCUGCACACACAUCUCUCUCUUGCUCUGGAAGUUCAUCCAGCUGAAUGGUGGUGCCAGUCAUCUGCCUCUGCCUUGCUGCCAUACUCCAAGACAUGUGUAGGUUCUGCAACUUGUUGCCGAUGUUGUGGGCUUAUGGCUCUGAUGUCUUCUCCAGCUUCUUAUGGAAGACCACUAACUUCAAACUGUGGUCAAUGAUGAACACAUAGGCCUUUAGCGAGGACUUGUGAUUCCCCAGCAGCUCCUUCAGAUCCUGGACACACUUGGCAGGUGGUGGGCCCAUACCUUCCAGACCUACGCCUGCAUGAGCAGGGUCUGAACCCAGAUGAAAGCUACCAAUAGGAAGCUCAGAGAGAUAGAGAACCCUAUGCAGUUCUUCGAAAGGUCCGUCUACAGCAACAGAGAUGCAUGGAGAGGCUACAUCUGAGAGGCAGAGAGGAGGAGCAGGGCAUUCCUCUGGAGUACCUGGAGAAACUCCACUUCAAACACGAGAGCUUGCUGCAGCACAAAACCAUGCGGCGAGAGAGGGAGGAAGGAAGUGUUGAUGGGAUUGUGAACGAGGAAGGGAGUGUUAAGGAAGGGAGUAGGUUGAGCAUGGUAUAGGAGUAUCUGAUUGACACGCCCAUUCUGACGCUGGAUAUCAACAACAUUUUUAAAUGGGACAAGGUCAAGGGUGCUGACAUGGUGGAAAGGUCAAAGAGUUUCUCAGUACCUUGUAAACACCAGCAGAUGACCAUCAUAGCCUGCUCUGGAUGUCAGCCAGCAGUGAGGACAGAUGUGGAACUUGUUUUGAAAUGAAUGAUGUCAAUUAUUUUUAAUAUUAUAUUUAAAGCAUUUGAAAUGUAUCGACCUGCAUGGGUACCUACAUGGGUAAACACAAUAUGAUACGUUUGUAUAGCUUGGUUUCACCUUCAUAUCCUGUCUGUUUUAUUAAUCGAUUUUAAUGAGAAGGGGAAAAAACUGAAUGUGUUUCUUUAUUAGAAAUAAUUUGUGCUGUUUUAUAAUAUUUUGUGUAAAAUAAUAAAGGGCUACCAGUA